rnacentral:tRNA from 1 species
GGAGGAGUACCCAAGUUCGGCUGAAGGGGAUGCACUCGAAAUGCAUUAGGACGGGCAACUGUUGCGUGGGUUCGAAUCCCACCUCCUCCGCCA